rnacentral:lncRNA from 1 species
UUAGUUUGAGGACUUUAGCUCUGAGAGGUUUCAGGAUUCAGUCCAAAAUGCAGAAAACAAUAAAAAGCUCAAAAACAAUGGACAAGACUAGAAUUUAACAACAGGGUCUCAAGCCACCCAGGCUGGAGUGCAGUGGCACAAUUAUGGCUCACUGUAGCCUCAACUUCCUGGAAUCAAGCAAUCCUCUUUCUUCAGCCUCCAGAGGAGCUGGGACCACAGAUCCUUUGGCAUUUGAGAGUUGCUUUUUGUAUACAGCCCUUUAACGGAGCAAAUGGCCAGCCAGGAAACCAAAGUGUGGACAAGGGGAAAGAAGCAUCUGUGGAGGAAGUUCUACAAGCAACCCUCCUCAUCCAUGUGGGUGGCGUUGCCCAUAUGCUACAUGUCUGUGGACCACUAUGUGUGUUUAAAGCUUUUUAGUAAAACGUUACUAAAAA